CACCUUGCUGGUCGGGCCAUGGUUUAACGACAGCGGCAAGGGAAGAGGCUCCUACUGUGGGAUAGGUCUGAGACAGGAGCAAGGGCGGCGAAGUUAGCACCCCGUGACCGAAAAGGCUGACGAGU
rnacentral:sRNA from 12 species